GCCGCGAAGGCGGAGGCGCCAGAUCGACCUACAGCGCAGGCGCAACCGGAUGGCUCCUUCCGCCCGUACGGGGCAUGUGCAGACCUAGCUCUGCCCCUCUGGUCUCCUCUCCGGGUUCCCGCUGCAGACAGCUGAGCGAAAAGCUGAGCUUUCACUAGCAGAUCCACAAAGAUCACUCUGGCUGUUUCAUGAUUGGUCUGGAGGGGAAAGAGAGGCAGCAAAGAAACCAGGAGGCCAUGUAGUCAGUACAGGAGAGAAAAUGGCAGCUUGGAGUAGGGCGGCCAUGGGAGAAGGACUUGGAUGGAUUGAGACCUGAUUGUGAGCCUGAAAUGUGAGCAUGAUGCCUAGAUGUGGAACUUAGGCCCAUGAAGAUGAAAGCCACAUGUUAAGGAUGGCAGAGCUAGAAAAAUGAAGGACGCUGAAACAUCCUCAAACAUUGACUGGAAAUGAUUAUCUCCACUGUCCUUGUUAUGUCUGAAAAAUCAACCCAUUUCAUUAGCCACUGUAGUUCAAGUGUAGGCUACGUGUGGCCAAACAAAAUCUUAA